GAUGAACGCUGACAGAAUGCUUAACACAUGCAAGUCAACUUGAAUUUGGGUUUUUAACUUAGGUUUGGGUGGCGGACGGGUGAGUAACGCGUAAAGAACUUGCCUCACAGCUAGGGACAACAUUUGGAAACGAAUGCUAAUACCUAAUAUUAUGAUAAUAGGGCAUCCUAUAAUUAUGAAAGCUAUAAGCGCUGUGAGAGAGCUUUGCGUCCCAUUAGCUAGUUGGAGAGGUAACGGCUCACCAAGGCGAUGAUGGGUAGCCGGCCUGAGAGGGUGAUCGACCACAAGGGGACUGAGACACGGCCCUUACUCCUACGGGAGGCAGCAGUGGGGAAUAUUGGACAAUGGACCGAGAGUCUGAUCCAGCAAUUCUGUGUGCACGAUGAAGUUUUUCGGAAUGUAAAGUGCUUUCAGUUGGGAAGAAACAAAUGACGGUACCAACAGAAGAAGUGACGGCUAAAUACGUG
rnacentral:rRNA from 1 species